rnacentral:rRNA from 1 species
AUACGGAGGAUCCGAGCGUUAUCCGGAUUUAUUGGGUUUAAAGGGUGCGCAGGCGGCCAUUUAAGUCAGCGGUUAAAUCGUGGGGCUCAACCCCAUUCUGCCGUUGAUACUGGGUGGCUUGAUUGCGGUCGAGGUUGGCGGAAUUCGUUGUGUAGCGGUGAAAUGCAUAGAUAUGACGAAGAACACCGAUUGCGUAGGCAGCUGACCAGAUCGCAAAUGACGCUCAUGCACGAAAGUGCGGGGAUCGAACAGGAUUAGAUACCCUGGUAGUCCGCACAGUAAACGAUGGGCGCUCGUCGUCGGCGGCAGACAGUCGGCGGCCAAGCGAAAGCGAUAAGCGCCCCACCUGGGGAGUACGGUCGCAAGGCUGAAACUCAAAUGAAUUGACGGGG